ensembl:misc_RNA
CUUCCUGUGAUGGCUGUGGUGUAAUCUGAAAAAAAGCAGAUCCGUUCAGAACUCCAGAAGGACUUGAAAACUGUCCUGCCCCGAACGAAAGCUGGAAUAUCGUGGGCUUUGAUGAACCAAG